rnacentral:tRNA from 1 species
GGGUCGUUAGCUCAGUUGGUAGAGCAGUUGACUUUUAAUCAAUUGGUCGCAGGUUCGA